rnacentral:lncRNA from 1 species
CAAAUACUGCUCCAGGGAUACCGUCAGACCACUGAAAAACAGCAGAUGGAUUACACUGGUGUAUCUGCCCAGACUAGCCCAGGAUCCUGGUUCCUGUCUUGGAAAGUGAAAGAUGCAAGGAGUCCCUGGGAAGAGGCAUUUCAUUAAGGAUGGACAUGGGGUCAUGAUGAAGAAGAGGGCCAGAAGAAGUCAUAGCAAGGGCAUCUCCCACCGAUGGAACAAGAACCAAGAGAUGAAGCACAUCAAAAACAAAGGCAGAAAUGGAGAAACAGAUUCCUGACAGAUCUUGUUACGUGUUUUGCUGCUUUUCUGUUUGAACAAAGUCGUGAUGAGCCUCUCGAGUCUGAGAGGAACCAGGAAAGGAAAAUGGGAGUGUGCAGCUGCCUCAAGGAGGAGGCCAGAUGAGGACGGGCAGGAG